rnacentral:lncRNA from 1 species
GAUACAGAGACUUGUAAGAUUGAAGGAAAUCAUCUUAUCUGGUUUUUAUCCUUUUUGGAAGCAUCAAAAGGAAAACUGGAGGCUGCAGUGAUAUACAAAGCUUUCUCAGCAGAGAAAAUUGGCCUCUUUACUUUGGAAGACUUUUGUCUAUGGUUUACGCAUUUAAGAGCCUUCCCACCGACUUUCUACAAGCUGGAUGAAAUAUAUCAAUAAGUAAAAUGUUUGAUGUGCUCCAGUCUUUUGGA